rnacentral:rRNA from 1 species
UACAGAGGGGGCAAGCGUUAUUCGGAAUUAUUGGGCGUAAAGAGCGUGUAGGCGGCCAGGUAGGUCUGCUGUGAAAACUCGAGGCUCAACCUCGAGACGUCGGCGGAAACCAUCUGGCUAGAGUCCGGAAGAGGAGAGUGGAAUUCCUGGUGUAGCGGUGAAAUGCGCAGAUAUCAGGAAGAACACCCGUGGCGAAGGCGGCUCUCUGGGACGGUACUGACGCUGAGGAGCGAAAGCGUGGGGAGCGAACAGG